rnacentral:rRNA from 1 species
UGCCUUACACAUGCAAGUCGAACGGUAACGCGGGGCAACCUGGCGACGAGUGGCGAACGGGUGAGUAAAGUAUCGGAACGUGCCCAAUAGUGGGGGAUAGCCCGGCGAAAGCCGGAUUAAUACCGCAUGAGACCUGAGGGUGAAAGCGGGGGAUCGCAAGACCUCGCGCUAUUGGAGCGGCCGAUAUCAGAUUAGGUAGUUGGUGGGGUAAAAGCCUACCAAGCCGACGAUCUGUAGCUGGUCUGAGAGGACGACCAGCCACACUGGAACUGAGACACGGCCCAGACUCCUACGGGAGGCAGCAGUGGGGAAUUUUGGACAAUGGGCGCAAGCCUGAUCCAGCAAUGCCGCGUGCAGGAUGAAGGCCUUCGGGUUGUAAACUGC